UAAAAGACUUUGGCUCAGCUUCUGC
rnacentral:siRNA from 1 species